rnacentral:rRNA from 1 species
AGAGUUUGAUCCUGGCUCAUCACGAACGCUGGCGGCGUGCUUAACACAUGCAAGUCGAACGGUAAGGCCCUUCGGGGUACACGAGUGGCGAACGGGUGAGUAACACGUGAGUAACCUGCCCCGGACUCUGGGAUAAGCAUUCGAAAGGGUGUCUAAUACUGGAUAGGACUCCUGCCUGCAUGGGUGGGGGUGGAAAGAUUUUUUGGUUCGGGAUGGGCUCGCGGCCUAUCAGCUUGUUGGUGGGGUGAUGGCCUACCAAGGCGUCGACGGGUAGCCGGCCUGAGAGGGCGACCGGCCACACUGGGACUGAGAUACGGCCCAGACUCCUACGGGAGGCAGCAGUGGGGAAUAUUGCGCAAUGGGCGGAAGCCUGACGCAGCAACGCCGCGUGCGGGAUGACGGCCUUCGGGUUGUAAACCGCUUUCACCCAUGACGAAAAUUUUUUUGACGGUAGUGGGAGAAGAAGCACCGGCCAACUACGUGCCAGCAGCCGCGGUGAUACGUAGGGUGCGAGCGUUGUCCGGAAUUAUUGNGCGUAAAGAGCUUGUAGGCGGUUUGUCGCGUCGGAAGUGAAAACUCGGGGCUUAACU